GCUGAUAAGUGUAAAUUGGCUCAAACACUUUGAAAAACUGUUUUAAAAUAUUUAAUAUCUACUAAAUUUGAACAUGGUAUAUAACCUAUGAUCCAAUAAUUCCAUUUGUAGGUAUACACCGAACAGAAAUGCAAUCAUCUUUUAUCAUGUUCAUCAGAAGACGUUUAUUACAAUGUUCAUAGCAGCAAUAUUUUUAAUAGUUCCAAAAUGUAGACUACUCCAAUGCCUAUCAACAAUUGGUUGAAUACAUAAAUUGUGGUAUAUUCACAAAAUGGACUGCACUGCAGCAUUCUCAUGAGCAAACUGUGACUAUACUCAAAAUAUGGAUGAACCUCAUGACCAUCAUAGUGAGUUAAAGAAACCAGACACAAAAAAUCACAUGUAUAUAAUGCACAAACACAAGGAUACUGCUCUAUGCUGUUAGAAGUCAGGCUAGCGGUUACCUUUGGGUGAAAAGGAGUGGUUAGCUACCGGAAGGAAAUACUUCUGGUGUACUGUUUCUUUCUUUCUUUCCUUUCUUUCCCUUCUUUUCUUUCCUUUCUUUCUCUUCGUUUCUUUCCCCUCCCUCCGUCCCUCCCUCCCUCCCUC
rnacentral:lncRNA from 1 species